CGCCUUAAAGCUAGCACGAACCCCAAAAAUAACAACCACCCAUCAAUAACCUUAUAAAACAUACACAUGUACAACAAACCAUUUUUCCGCCCGAGUAUAGGAGAUAGAAAAGGACCAGACGGAGCAAUAGAUAAAGUACCGCAAGGGAACGCUGAAAGAGAAAUGAAAUAAACCAGGAAAGCCCAGAAAAGCAGAGAUCAACACUCGUACCUUUUGCAUCAUGUUUUAGCCAGUAAUAUUCAAGCAAAGAGAACUAUAGUUUGACACCCCGAAACUAGGUGAGCUACUCCAAGGCAGCCCGUAAAAGGGGCACACCCGUCUCUGUGGCAAAAGAGUGGGAGGACCUUCGAGUAGGGGUGACAGACCUACCGAACCUAGUUAUAGCUGGUUGCCUUAGAAAUGGAUAGAAGUUCAGCCCCAUGCCUUCUCCCUUCCCAAGCGUUAACUCAGCUUGACCAAAAGAAGACAUCGGAGUUAGUCAAAGGAGGUACAGCUCCUUUGAAAAAGAUACAACUUUGCGAGGAGGGUGAAGAUCACAUUAACUCAAGGUAGCAUACCCCGGUGGGCCUAAAAGCAGCCACCCGAAGAGAAAGCGUUAAAGCUCAAGUAUGAACUAAACCUAUUAUUCUGAUAAUACCAUCUAAACCCCCUACCUAUACAAGGCCUUCUCAUACAAUUAUGUGAGUGACUAUGCUAAUAUGAGUAAUAAGAGAACAUCCGGUUCUCUCCCAACACAAGUGUAAAUCGGAUCGGACCCCCCGCCGACUAUUAACGACCCCAACCCAAGAGGGCAUUGAGUAAUAAAUUAAACAACUAGAAGAACACUCAACAACCGACGUUAACCCCACACUGGUGUGCCUGCAAGGAAAGACUGAAAGAGAAGGAAGGAACUCGGCAAGCACAAGCCUCGCCUGUUUACCAAAAACAUCGCCUCUUGCAAAGCUAAAGAAUAAGAGGUCCCGCCUGCCCUGUGACUAUAAGUUUAACGGCCGCGGUAUUUUGACCGUGCGAAGGUAGCGCAAUCACUUGUCUCUUAAAUGGAGACCUGUAUGAAUGGCACGACGAGGGCUUAACUGUCUCCCUUCUCAAGUCAAUGAAAUUGAUCUCCCCGUGCAGAAGCGGGGAUAAACACAUAAGACGAGAAGACCCUAUGGAGCUUUAGACACCAAAGCAGACCAUGUUAAACACCCCUGAUUAUAGGACUAAACUGAUUGGGACCUGCCCUACUGUCUUUGGUUGGGGCGACCGCGGGGAAAAACAAAACCCCCACGUGGAAUGGGAGUACCCCUCCUAAAACUGAGAGCCGCAGCUCUAAGAAUCAGAACUUCUGACCAUAAUGAUCCGGCAAAGCCGAUCAACGGACCGAGUUACCCUAGGGAUAACAGCGCAAUCCCCUUCUAGAGUCCAUAUCGACAAGGGGGUUUACGACCUCGAUGUUGGAUCAGGACAUCCUAAUGGUGCAGCCGCUAUUAAGGGUUCGUUUGUUCAACGAUUAAAGUCCUACGUGAUCUGAGUUCAGACCGGAGUAAUCCAGGUCAGUUUCUAUCUAUGAAACAGCCUUUUUCUAGUACGAAAGGACCGAAAAAGGGAGGCCCAUGCCCAAAGUAAGCCUCACCCCCACCCUCUGAACGCAACUCAAGAGGACAAGGGGGCAUACUAUAGUGCCCCAGAGAAUGGCAU
rnacentral:rRNA from 1 species